GAGUUGGGGGUACCCGAAGUCGCUUGUCUAACCUGCAAAGGAGGACGGUGCCGAAGGUACGCUUGGUAAGGAGGGUGAAGUCGUAACAAGGUAGCCGUACCGGAAGGUGCGGCUGGAUCACCUCCUUUCUUAGAGAAAGGUAAAUACUAAAUGCUUUGUAAGUUGUACACAAAGCGUACGCUUAUCUCCUCUUCUUUCCCGACCUUUUUUUUAUACGGGCCUGUAGCUCAGUUGGUUAGAGCACU
rnacentral:misc_RNA from 1 species